CCCAGCUCGUCAUGCUAGAGCACUUUUUCAAUGGGCUCCUCAACGACAAGGUGACGAUGCAUUCGUAUGUCAUACAUAUCAACUUUUGAUGCCACUUUCUGCGCCUACCAUGGUGACCACGGUUAACGGGGAAUCAGGGUUCGAUUCCGGAGGGAGCCUGAGAAACGGCUACCACUUGCAAGGAAGGCAGCAGGCGCGCAAAUGACCCACUCCCGACGUGGGAAGGUAGUGACG